rnacentral:lncRNA from 1 species
UGAGUUCAAAUUAAUCCCCGGCCUUAGGCGGAAAAUGAGUGUGUGUGUAAUUUACGGAGAUCUUCAGAUAAUGCAAUUAUAAAAAAAAUAAAAAAAAUCAAUCGUCUCUCUAUUAGCUCUCCAAAUAGCGCUUGUUGGAUGGUCCAAUAUUCAACAUGCACGUGAAUAAAAGUAUUAAGACUAUUUAUGAGCACUUUCUUAUCGGAUAGAGAGCGAAAUAUACAGAUGCAAAAGUUUGAAUGAAAUCUCGAUUGGUAUCAUGUGGGCUCUGGGCUUCGUUACAAAUAUUAUGCAAAUGCUCCACUUGAAACUAUACGUGCUGUGAGAAAAUAUAAUAAAAAAAAUUUCUAUUUGUUUUCGUUUAGAAAAGUACGACUUUAUAUGCGUUCGCCCCAACUCCUUUUGGCCCAAUAGCCCGCAAUUUGAAAACGGGCCUAAAGGCUUCAUUUUGGAAUUGCAGAGAUAUUGCAUUAUGUGCGGUGAGAAAUUACUCACUUAUUUUCGUACGUAAUAUUACGUUGCGUAUAUUGCAAUAAAUCGAUUACGACAUAUUUUUUAUGGUUCAACAAAAAAAUGAAAAAGCAUAUCUCCACAUAAAGUUUU